AUUUAAUACUGAACACGGAUUACAGUUGCUUGCUUACAGACUGUUGCAAGAAACCGCUGAUGAACUCGACAUCCCCAAAUAAUCCAAAAUGUUCCCGCUGAGGCCCUGGCUGCGGGUUGCCCAGGGACAGCUGUUGCUAGGCAACCAAUGACAUCACCACAGCAACAAUUCUCAGCCUCAUCAGAAGACAGACAGAAAGUGUGAGAGCAGCAGAGAGAAGGACGAAGUGUCUGGUUCUGAACCGUGUGUCUGAUGGACAAACUCCACUCCUCCCUUCCUGUCUGUAACCAUGUGUCUGACUAUGAUGAGCAUGGCAGCAUGUGCACUGUUGUCAUGGCUGGUGAUGUCAUCAGAAUAGAGGCGGAGCAAGUUGUUCCAUUUUCAUUAUUGAUUGUGAAGAUAAAUACAUUUUGUCUUUGGAAUUUCAUGAUGAACUGACGAAGUCUUCACUAUAACACCAGACAUUUUACAUGGGCUCUUGGGUGCAUUGAUGGCACAUAGCAAAUCAUACUGUACCAAGAUAAAUGGGACACCCUGCGAUCCUGUGAACUUUUUAUGGCUGUGUGUGGGUGAAGGCCACAAGACUGAGACUGAGAGUACACCAUUUGCGAACAAAUCCACCGUCUGUUUGAGACCCAGACAUUGCUGCUAAAUAAAGUUUCAUAAAUACAGAGUCUGCUCUCUGUUCAGUGACAC